CAAACGGCCCUUUUCAGGGCCAUCAACACCUCACAUAAAGAGUCUU
rnacentral:ncRNA from 1 species